rfam:Gossypium arboreum cultivar AKA8401 contig_45274_1, whole genome shotgun sequence.
AUCCCUUGAUGAGGGCACUUAAGAUGUAAUUCCUUAAAUCUUUCCCACGCAUUGUACUAGGAUUCAUCUUCCAAUAUUGAAAACGUGGUUGUCUCAUCUUUGCAACU